rnacentral:misc_RNA from 1 species
UGUGGUCAGCUCCUCUCAAAUCGAUCAGCUUCCCAGUGUUCGGUGGCAUCACAGGUGUGAUAAUUAUCUACGCUUGCGGUUGUCUGCCGAGUAACCUUUGGCGACAGAGGUUCGCUGGAGCUUAUAAAUGUCUCUCCUCAGCGAAGACAGCUUUUUGACCGUUCGAUCUCAAAUCAGGUAGGACUACCCGCUGAACUUAA